rnacentral:rRNA from 1 species
AAAUAGAUCCUGAAACCGCAUGCAUACAAGCAGUGGGAGCACCUUCGUGGUGUGACUGCGUACCUUUUGUAUAAUGGGUCAGCGACUUAUAUUCAGUAGCGAGGUUAACCGUAUAGGGGAGCCGUAGAGAAAUCGAGUCUUAAUAGGGCGUUUAGUUGCUGGGUAUAGACCCGAAACCAGGCGAUCUAUCCAUGAGCAGGUUGAAGGUUGGGUAACACUAACUGGAGGACCGAACCCACUGUCGUUGAAAAGCCA